UAGUUCACGCUGCUUGGGGACCGAGCCGAGCAUAAAGAUAGAGAUAGAUCCCACCUUCCCUAUAAUUCGCCCGGUCUCGUGCGGGGCGCCCGAGGCAGUUCUCCGCUGUAUGGGACGGACGGUUUUUCGGAACCUAUCCGCCUUAACCCAUUACCCAUUCACAACUAGGGAGUUAGGGGCGAAGCUGACCUCAGGCAAUGGCCGCCUUCUUGUUGCCUGUGUUGCCGUAGCUAUGACUGUCGAAAGGUUCCCCCCUAAGCUUGGGAGUCUUCUAUCUCACAUAGACACAUUUCACUUAGCGGCUUUAUGAGCAUCGUUCUAGUACCCAUCUUUCCAGGAUCCCUAGCUUUCUCCUCGGUUCAGCACUACACAG
rnacentral:misc_RNA from 1 species